rnacentral:rRNA from 1 species
UACGGAGGGGGCGAGCGUUAUUCGGAAUUAUUGGGCGUAAAGGGCGCGUAGGCGGCUUGAUGUGUCAAAGGUGAAAUCCCUCGGCUCAACUGAGGAACUGCCUUUGAAACUGUCUGGCUUGAGGCCGGGAGAGGGUAGCGGAAUUCCCAGUGUAGCAGUGAAAUGCGUAGAUACUGGGAGGAACACCGGUGGCGAAGGCGGCUACCUGGACCGGUUCUGACGCUGAUGCGCGAAAGCGUGGGUAGCAAACAGG